GCAGUCGUGGCCGAGUGGUUAAGGUGAUGGACUAGAAAUCCAUUGAGGUCUUCCCGCACAGGUUCGAAUCCUGUCAACUGCG
rnacentral:tRNA from 2 species